rnacentral:rRNA from 1 species
CCUACGGGGGACAGCAGUGGGGAAUAUUGCGCAAUGGGCGAAAGCCUGACGCAGCGACGCCGCGUGAGGGAUGAAGGUCUUCGGAUCGUAAACCUCUGUCAGCAGGGAAGAACGGUCACUGUGCUAAUCAGCAGUGAAUUGACGGUACCUGCAAAGGAAGCACCGGCUAACUCCGUGCCAGCAGCCGCGGUAAUACGUAGGUGGCAAGCGUUGUCCGGAUUUACUGGGUGUAAAGGGCGUGCAGCCGGAGAGACAAGUCAGAUGUGAAAUCCACGGGCUCAACCCGUGAACUGCAUUUGAAACUGGCAAACUGGAGUGUGUGAGAGGAUAGUGGAAUUCCAGGUGUAGGAGUGAAAUCCGUAGAUAUCUGGAGGAACAUCAGUGGCGAAGGCGACUAUCUGGCACAUAACUGACGCUGAGGAGCGAAAGCGUGGGUAGCAAACAGGAUUAGAUACCCUUGUAGUC